UAGGCUACCAUGAGACAGCUCUGGAAAAGAUGAGGCUGGCCUUGUCGUGUGUUUAUUGGAUCCUUCUGCUUGUCUCCGUGAUUUCCAGUGGUCUCUUGUUCUUAAUAGUUGCCUCGGAAGGAACUCAGUCUUUGGAACCAAGCGACGUCGAUGUCGACGAUAAGAAUUUUCGAUCGUAUGAAAAUGUAUCGAGCGAAAAUGUUGGAACGUAUAUUCGCCCACUGGCGGAGAAAACACCUAAAGCGAAAGGCGAUAGAACAGAAACAUCCUACCAGGAUAUCGUUACGAAGGCUUCGUCUAUCGUCUUUGAGAAAGUCUCAUCGGUGUCGGCAAGCUUUGAACUUGGAUCGGAAGACAAGACGCACGCAAACCCAGAGGUUGUGGAAAUUCUGUCCGAAGGUUUGACGCAGCAGCCAAAUCUCUCGGAAGGAGUCUCGCGGACCGGAGGGCAGGCCGGCGCGUUGACCCUGGCGGACACGGAACUGCGGAGCCUGGCCGAGGCGGGGUCGAAGGCCGGACCGUCCCCGAACCUGACCUACGAUCGCCGAAGCGUCCAGGAAGAGUCCAACGCUACGACCGAGGAGCGAGCCGAGGAGCGAGCCGAGGAGGUGCUGGUGGUGCGAGCGGAGCAGAAGACGGGGACGCGCGGCUCCUCCGGAGGACCGUUCUCGAUGCCGGGCCCGCCGGUCGUCGACGACCACGAGGAGGAGGAGGAGGAGGAGGAGGAGGAGACGGCAUCGGACGUCGGGGCGGGGCCCGCGACACCGACGCCUCCGGAGCUGGACGAGGGGACCGCGAGGUCGAGGCUGGCUAACGGCCCCGGAGACGACGGAGCCCCGGUUAUUCUCGACGGCUUCGUCCCCUCGGGACUCGCGGAUCCUCACGAGGACAUUCCCUCCUUUAGCGAGUGGGCUCAGAAGAGGCUCGAGGAGGCCGAGAAGAAGAAGGCGCACCCGAACGCCUCGGCGCAGAAUCCCGGCUCCGGGCCGGGUCGAUCGUCGACCCGUUCCUCCGGGAAGUCCUCGGGUCGAUCGGCUGGUCGAUCGACCAGCGGCGCCAAGAAGGUCCGCUCCAAGAAUUACGCCUCGCCGGAUUGCGGAGCCAAGAUCGUGGCCGUUAAUCCCGAAGCGCGCAGUGCUCGGAGCGUCCUGGCCUCGACGAGGGACGAAUACAUGCUCAACACCUGUACCACCCGGAUUUGGUUCGUCGUCGAACUCUGCGAAGCCAUCCAGGCCAAGAAGAUCGAGUUGGCCAACUUCGAGCUGUUCAGUUCCUCGCCCAGAGAUUUCUCCGUCUACGUGAGCGACAGGUUCCCUACGAGGGACUGGUCCCCCGUUGGUCAGUUCACGGCCCGGGACGAGCGGGACAUUCAGAGUUUCGGCCUGCAGCCUCAUCUCUUCGGAAAGUUCAUGAAGGUGGAAAUGCAUUCCCACUACGGUGAGGAGCAUUUCUGCCCGGUCUCGCUGUUCAGGGCCUACGGAACCAGUGAAUUCGAGGUUCUCGAGACGGAAACCGAGAACCAGGUACAGGAAAGUCGUCGAGACGGCGAGAUCGGCGAGGAGAAUGGUGGCGACGAGAACGACGACGACGACGAGGACGAAGACGACGAAGACGAAGAGGUCUUGGAAGCGGAAAGUGGCGAGCCACCUAGAAAUCUCUUUGGAAGUGCCAGGGACGCGGUUCUCAGUAUAGUCAAAAAGGCUGCCGAGGUUCUGGUCAAAUCCAACGGACCACGGUUCGGUAACCUGACCAUGGAGCAGCGAAAGAAUCUGGAAAACGAGGUGCGGAAGGACGAUGCCUCCAACGGCUGCGUCACGCCGAGGUACAAUCUUGUGUGCAACGAUUGCUCAGAGGAGCGAUUUUCCAAAGUCUUCCGACUGAUUAGCUGUGCCGACAUGUACCUAAACUCGUUGCUGAAGAUCGGCUUCGUCGAAAGUACCCUCCGAGAGACGGGCCUCUGCUCGCCUCACGGAUUCGACUUUUCUUCCGAACUGGAACGACAGCCGGAAGGCACUCGGGAUGACUCUACGAAAGCUCUUCGCUCGAAUUUCUUCAAAUCUUUGUUCGCUCCUGAAUACGUCAUCGCUCUUUGCAACGUUUUCGCUAGUAACGGUAGCAGGCUCGCUCUGAACUCGAGCCACCAGGUGCUUUCCGAGGAAUCGGAGAGCUCGGUGGACGAGAACACGGUGGCGGCACCGCGAGCCGUCGAGAUUCAUCCCUCGACGACGUUCGAUGCCAGGGACACCGAUGCCGCAACCGCGACGUCGUCAACGACGUCUACGUCCGACAUCAAAUCGUCCUUGGAAUCCACCACAACGGUUUCUUUGGACACGUCCACUACGAUCGCAGAUUGUAAGUCCACAGGCUCUUCCCGAGGAAGUACGAGUUCUCGGGAAGGAGCGACCGCUUCCGUCGGGUCCAUACCCGGCAAACGAGGCAUUCGAGCUCCCGAACACGAGUCUUCGACGAGUUCGAGUUCCACCGAGGCGGUUGUACCCACCGAAACCUUAGUCUCCCGUCCCGGGUAUACGAAGACCUUGAACAGAGACGAUCUGAAAACGGAGUCAAGGGCAUCGAUCGCGGAGCCUGUCAAGGAACUCCCCGAGGAGAGCGUGCAGUGCGAAGCUCCGACCACGCCGGCUCCCUCGGCUUCGAGGAGUGUUGACAACUUUGAAAGAGUCGACGUCCCCGAUAUGCCGGUCGAUGCGACGCCGCGAUCGACGAUCUCGCCUACCUUGACUCGACAGCUGGAACUCCAGGAACCCAGAGAAGCGCCGUUUGUCGAGGCGGACGACAAAGGCGAUUCGCUCGACGUUCAUUCGCGCCUUCGCCUCGACCCCACGACGGAGAUCACUGCCAAGAGCAAGUCCGAGGCAACCUGUCAAGAAUCGAAAGUUUUGCAAGAGCAACUUAAUCUGGAUACUCUCUUGUCCGACCUUAAGGAACUCGAAGGCGAUCAGGGUUCUCUUCAAAGUAAUCAGGCCCAGAAUCCAUCAUCCGCAGCUGCACCCACCGCUAGUUCAACGCCGCAGCAGAAGGAGUCGGUAUUCUUGAGAUUGUCCAAUAGAAUCAAGGCUCUCGAGAGGAACAUGUCAUUGAGCGGACAGUACCUAGAGGAGCUGAGUCGGCGUUACAAGAAACAGGUAGAGGAGAUGCAACGGUCCUUGGAACGAGCGGUGGCGUCAAUGAACGAGGAGUCCCGCAGAAGCGAGGAGCGGGAGAGCAGGCAGCUGGAGGAAAUUGCGACGCUCAAGGGAGAGAUCGCGAGCCUUUCGGAGGCCUUGCAGGAGUUUCUUUGCGAUCGAGAGAGCUGGCGCAGCCGAUUCGGGGCGAUCUUCCAACACGCGGUGUUCGCGUGUCUGGAAAUCGCGAUCGUUCUGUCGAUUCUCACCUACAGGCGACGUUCGUCGAACCACCCGGAACGGGUCACGACAACGUUACAAGUGCGCCCAAUUCGAAGGCAUAGCGCCGAAGUGUCGACCAAUCCGAAGAAGACCAAACGGCGGCGGUCCAGUGACGUUCCUUCGGGCAGCGUCGAACCCGCCUAUCGGGGACACGCGGCGGAGCACCGACCAGCGGGAAGCCAAGAGGGCAAGAAGAGACGCAAGAGAAAACGCGAAUCGACGAGUCUCGUUCCAGCGACCACGGCCGAAAGACUCGGGACCUCCGGUUCGGUCGACCCGCCCGCGAGGAGAGUCUCCUCCCCGGACGCGCCGAACUUUUACGGAUGCGGAUCCUCGGCGGGGCGGACGGACGCUGCGAAGCCCGGAGAGGAGGUCAACGGGCCAACCUCGUGCUCCUCCUCCAACUCGGAGAAAGAGACUGGCGGAUGGCGGAACCUACCCGGAGGCAAGGUGAGCUCGCUGUCAACGAUCGGGACCGCUCUCGCCUCGAGGAGCAAGAGGCCCUUCUCCGGAGCCUCGAGAUCGGACAACUUCGAUUCCUCGGGUAGACGGGACGCCGCGGCCACGGUGGUCGGGGCGAACGGUACGAACGCGAGGUGCGUCGCCGGGGAGGAGAGCGACGGUGCCACGCCGGUUACCGGAAAGAAGGAAAAAAAGACCACAGGGUUUAGGAAAAUGGUGAGGAAACUUUUCUGAUUGGAGUUACGGAAGGGUGCUCGUGCCGAAACCUUGAUACUUAGGAGCGAACGCUAGAAACGCAACGAGCCAAGGGGUUCUCGUAGAACGCUGACGUAGGUAACCUCUAGAGUCAAGGGCAAACGCUCGGCGCUAUAGAAAGGAAGAAGCGGAGACCGAGAACUACCACGAGGCAACGACGAAGCUUCGGAGGACGGUAAGGGACCGAAUCGGAUCGCGGAGUUAACCGGAGAAGCGGCCGAAGAGUUGAGUCCGUUUCCUCGGGAGCCUGACUGACCCGAAUAAGAAAAUGGAUGCCUACUUUCUUGGAACGUUUUGCGAGCUCGAUGAAACCUAAGGAUUGGGCUUUGGCCUUGCGACUUCGAGUGCCAAAUCAGUGGUCUUUGAGUAAACGCGUAGAGACCGACGGACGUGGAUGCCUUCCCUUCGUCCAGAGUACCAGGGUACGAAGGCAAGCGGUCGUGUUCGUCAGGGUACAAAGCUCGUUAUCGUUAUCGUUAUCGUUAAAGCCUAACGUCUCGGGACAAUUUCUGGAUGAAAGGUAAACGGAAAGGCUUUAAACGAGAAACCGCGAUACAUAUUGAAAUCUUUGACGAAGCCUACAAACUUUGUGGAAAAGCGUUUAACGUAUUAAUUAGUCUCGGUGUAGUUAGAAUAUCAAAUUAAUUAAAAUUGAUCGAUUCGAA